rnacentral:rRNA from 1 species
AGCAGUCGCCACGGUAAUACGGAGGGUGCAAGCGUUAAUCGGAAUUACUGGGCGUAAAGCGUGCGUAGGCGGUGAGUUAAGUCUGCUGUGAAAUCCCCGGGCUCAACCUGGGAAUGGCAGUGGAUACUGCCGUGCUAGAGGAUUGGAGAGGUAGCUGGAAUUCUUGGUGUAGCAGUGAAAUGCGUGGAGAUCAAGAGGAACACUCGUGGCGAAAGCGAGCUACUGGACAAUAUCUGACGCUGAGGCUCGAAGGCCAGGGUAGCGAAAGGGAUUAGAUACCCCCGUAGUCCCUGUCUCUUAUAU